GCCCUCGGUGGCUCAGGUGGACAGAGCGUCUGCCAUGUAAGCAGGAGAUCCUGGGUUCAAGUCCCGGUCGGGGUA
rnacentral:tRNA from 1 species